AAUCCGGUUGAUCCUGCCGGACCUGACUGCUAUCGGAUUGGUACUAAGCCAUGCGAGUCAUUGUAGCAAUACAAGGCGGACGGCUCAGUAACACGUAGUCAACCUAACUCGUGGACGUGGAUAACCUCGGGAAACUGAGAAUAAACCACGAUAGAUCAUAGUGCCUGGAAUGGCUUAUGGUCCAAACAGUUUACUGCCAUGGGAUGGGACUGCGGCCUAUCAGCUUGUUGGUGAGGUAAUGGCCCACCAAGGCGAUUACAGGUACGGGCUCUGAGAGGAGAAGCCCGGAGAUGGGUACUGAGACACGGACCCAGGCCCUAUGGGGCGCAGCAGGCGAGAAACCUUAGCAAUGUGCGAAAGCACGACUGGGUCAGUCCGAGUGAUUCCUGAUAAAGGAGUCUUUUGCUUGUCCUAAAAGCACAGGUGAAUAAGGGGUGGGCAAGUCUGGUGUCAGCCGCCGCGGUAAUACCAGCACCUCGAGUGGUCAGGACGUUUAUUGGGCCUAAAGCAUCCGUAGCCGGCUUUGCAAGUCUUCGGUUAAAUCCACCUGCUCAACAGAUGGGCCGCUGGAGAUACUACAGAGCUAGGGAGUGGGAGAGGCAGACGGUAUUCAGUGGGUAGGGGUAAAAUCCUCUGAUCCAUUGAGGACCACCAGUGGCGAAGGCGGUCUGCCAGAACACGUUCGACGGUGAGGGAUGAAAGCUGGGGGAGCAAACCGGAUUAGAUACCCGGGUAGUCCCAGCUG
rnacentral:rRNA from 1 species